UCCUGUCUGAAUAUGGGGGGACCAUCCUCCAAGGCUAAAUACUCCUGACUGACCGAUAGUGAACCAGUACCGUGAGGGAAAGGCGAAAAGAACCCCGGCGAGGGGAGUGAAAAAGAACCUGAAACCGUGUACGUACAAGCAGUGGGAGCACCUUCGGGUGUGACUGCGUACCUUUUGUAUAAUGGGUCAGCGACUUAUAUUCUGUAGCAAGGUUAACCGUAUAGGGGAGCCGCAGGGAAACCGAGUCUUAACUGGGCGUUAAGUUGCAGGGUAUAGACCCGAAACCCGGUGAUCUAGCCAUGGGCAGGUUGAAGGUUGGGUAACACUAACUGGAGGACCGAACCGACUAAUGUUGAAAAAUUAGCGGAUGACUUGUGGCUGGGGGUGAAAGGCCAAUCAAACCGGGAGAUAGCUGGUUCUCCCCGAAAGCU
rnacentral:rRNA from 2 species